rnacentral:rRNA from 1 species
CCUACGGGGGGCAGCAGUGGGGAAUAUUACACAAUGGGCGCAAGCCUGAUGCAGCGACGCCGCGUGCGGGAUGGAGGCCUUCGGGUUGUAAACCGCUUUUGUUCAAGGGCAAGGCGCGGUCUUUGGCCGUGUUGUGUGGAUUGUUCGAAUAAGCACCGGCUAACUACGUGCCAGCAGCCGCGGGAAUACGUAGGGUGCAAGCGUUAUCCGGAUUUAUUGGGUGUAAAGGGCUCGUAGGCGGUUCGUCGCGUCCGGUGUGAAAGUGCAUGGCUUAACGGUGAAACCGCGCAGGGUACGGGCGGGCUUGAGUGCGGUAGGGGAGACUGGAAUUCCCGGUGUAACGGUGGAAUGUGUAGAUAUCGGGAAGAACACCGAUGGCGAAGGCAGGUCUCUGGGCCGUUACUGACACUGAGGAGCGAAAGCGUGGGGAGCGAACAGGAUUAGAUACCCUUGUAGUC